GACGAACGCUGGCGGCGUGCCUAAUACAUGCAAGUCGAACGCAGUGGGGACGGGUGAGUAACACGUGGGUAACCUCCCAUCAGAGGGGAUAACACUUGGAAACAGGUGCUAAACCGAUACUGAUGGAUGGACCCGCGGUGCAUUAGCUAGUUGGUGAGGUAACGGCUCACCAAGGCCACGAUGCAUAGACGGCCCGAGAGGUGGACAGGCCACAAGGGAACUUGGACACGGUCCAGACUCCAACGGGUGGCAGCGGUAGGGAAUGUUCGGCAAUGGGCGAAAGCCGGAUCGAGCAACGCCGCGUGAGUGAAGAAGGUUUUCGGAUCGUAAAGCACUGUUGUUGGCGAAGCGGUAUCUGACGAGAAAGCAACGGCUACCUACGUGCCAGCCGCCGCGGUAAUUC
rnacentral:rRNA from 1 species